GGGUGAGAUCAUACCAGCAUUAAUGCACCAUAUUCCAUCAGAACUCCGUAGUUAAGCGCACUUGCGCUAGUGUAGUACUCAUAUGGGUGACCUCCCGACAAUUCCUAGUGUUUCACCCU
rnacentral:rRNA from 1 species